rnacentral:rRNA from 1 species
UGUGAGCUCGAUGAGUAGGGCGGGACACGUGGUAUCCUGUCUGAAUAUGGGGGGACCAUCCUCCAAGGCUAAAUACUCCUGACUGACCGAUAGUGAACCAGUACCGUGAGGGAAAGGCGAAAAGAACCCCGGCGAGGGGAGUGAAAAAGAACCUGAAACCGUGUACGUACAAGCAGUGGGAGCACAGAGCAAUCUGUGUGACUGCGUACCUUUUGUAUAAUGGGUCAGCGACUUAUAUUCUGUAGCAAGGUUAACCGAAUAGGGGAGCCGAAGGGAAACCGAGUCUUAACUGGGCGUUAAGUUGCAGGGUAUAGACCCGAAACCCGGUGAUCUAGCCAUGGGCAGGUUGAAGGUUGGGUAACACUAACUGGAGGACCGAACCGACUAAUGUUGAAAAAUUAGCGGAUGACUUGUGGCUGGGGGUGAAAGGCCAAUCAAACCGGGAGAUAGCUGGUUCUCCCCGAAAGCUAUUUAGGUAGCGCCUCGUGAAUUCAUCUCCGGGGGUAGAGCACUGUUUCGGCAAGGGGGUCAUCCCGACUUACCAACCCGAUGCAAACUGCGAAUACCGGAGAAUGUUAUCACGGGAGACACACGGCGGGUGCUAACGUCCGUCGUGAAGAGGGAAACAACCCAGACCGCCAGCUAAGGUCCCAAAGUCAUGGUUAAGUGGGAAACGAUGUGGGAAGGCCCAGACAGCCAGGAUGUUGGCUUAGAAGCAGCCAUCAUUUAAAGAAAGCGUAAUAGCUCACUGGUCGAGUCGGCCUGCGCGGAAGAUGUAACGGGGCUAAACCAUGCACCGAAGCUGCGGCAGCGACGCUGAUGCGUUGUUGGGUAGGGGAGCGUUCUGUAAGCCUGCGAAGGUGUGCUGUGAGGCAUGCUGGAGGUAUCAGAAGUGCGAAUGCUGACAUAAGUAACGAUAAAGCGGGUGAAAAGCCCGCUCGCCGGAAGACCAAGGGUUCCUGUCCAACGUUAAUCGGGGCAGGGUGAGUCGACCCCUAAGGCGAGGCCGAAAGGCGUAGUCGAUGGGAAACAGGUUAAUAUUCCUGUACUUGGUGUUACUGCGAAGGGGGGACGGAGAAGGCUAUGUUGGCCGGGCGACGGUUGUCCCGGUUUAAGCGUGUAGGCUGGUUUUCCAGGCAAAUCCGGAAAAUCAAGGCUGAGGCGUGAUGACGAGGCACUACGGUGCUGAAGCAACAAAUGCCCUGCUUCCAGGAAAAGCCUCUAAGCAUCAGGUAACAUCAAAUCGUACCCCAAACCGACACAGGUGGUCAGGUAGAGAAUACCAAGGCGCUUGAGAGAACUCGGGUGAAGGAACUAGGCAAAAUGGUGCCGUAACUUCGGGAGAAGGCACGCUGAUAUGUAGGUGAAGUCCCUCGCGGAUGGAGCUGAAAUCAGUCGAAGAUACCAGCUGGCUGCAACUGUUUAUUAAAAACACAGCACUGUGCAAACACGAAAGUGGACGUAUACGGUGUGACGCCUGCCCGGUGCCGGAAGGUUAAUUGAUGGGGUCAGCGCAAGCGAAGCUCUUGAUCGAAGCCCCGGUAAACGGCGGCCGUAACUAUAACGGUCCUAAGGUAGCGAAAUUCCUUGUCGGGUAAGUUCCGACCUGCACGAAUGGCGUAAUGAUGGCCAGGCUGUCUCCACCCGAGACUCAGUGAAAUUGAACUCGCUGUGAAGAUGCAGUGUACCCGCGGCAAGACGGAAAGACCCCGUGAACCUUUACUAUAGCUUGACACUGAACAUUGAGCCUUGAUGUGUAGGAUAGGUGGGAGGCUUUGAAGUGUGGACGCCAGUCUGCAUGGAGCCGACCUUGAAAUACCACCCUUUAAUGUUUGAUGUUCUAACGUGGACCCGUGAUCCGGGUUGCGGACAGUGUCUGGUGGGUAGUUUGACUGGGGCGGUCUCCUCCUAAAGAGUAACGGAGGAGCACGAAGGUUGGCUAAUCCUGGUCGGACAUCAGGAGGUUAGUGCAAUGGCAUAAGCCAGCUUGACUGCGAGCGUGACGGCGCGAGCAGGUGCGAAAGCAGGUCAUAGUGAUCCGGUGGUUCUGAAUGGAAGGGCCAUCGCUCAACGGAUAAAAGGUACUCCGGGGAUAACAGGCUGAUACCGCCCAAGAGUUCAUAUCGACGGCGGUGUUUGGCACCUCGAUGUCGGCUCAUCACAUCCUGGGGCUGAAGUAGGUCCCAAGGGUAUGGCUGUUCGCCAUUUAAAGUGGUACGCGAGCUGGGUUUAGAACGUCGUGAGACAGUUCGGUCCCUAUCUGCCGUGGGCGCUGGAGAACUGAGGGGGGCUGCUCCUAGUACGAGAGGACCGGAGUGGACGCAUCACUGGUGUUCGGGUUGUCAUGCCAAUGGCACUGCCCGGUAGCUAAAUGCGGAAGAGAUAAGUGCUGAAAGCAUCUAAGUACGAAACUUGCCCCGAGAUGAGUUCUCCCUGACUCCUUGA